GCCAGGUUACCCAAGCGGUCAACGGGGACAGACUGUAAAUCUGUUGGCGUUCGCCUUCGUAGGUUCGAAUCCUUCACCUGGCA
rnacentral:tRNA from 1 species